UACAGAGGGGGCAAGCGUUGUUCGGAAUUACUGGGCGUAAAGGGCGCGUAGGUGGCCUUCUAAGUCGAACGUGAAAUCCCUGGGCUCAACCCAGGAACUGCGUCCGAGACCGGGAGGCUUGAAUCCGGGAGAGGGAUGCGGAAUUCCAGGUGUAGCGGUGAAAUGCGUAGAUAUCUGGAGGAACACCGGUGGCGAAGGCGGCAUCCUGGACCGGGAUUGACACUGAGGCGCGAAAGCCAGGGGAGCAAACGGG
rnacentral:rRNA from 1 species